CGGACGGGUGAGUAAUGUCUGGGAAACUGCCUGAUGGAGGGGGAUAACUACUGGAAACGGUAGCUAAUACCGCAUAACGUCGCAAGACCAAAGAGGGGGACCUUCGGGCCUCUUGCCAUCGGAUGUGCCCAGAUGGGAUUAGCUAGUAGGUGGGGUAAGGCUCACCUAGGCGACGAUCCCUAGCUGGUCCGAGAGGAUGACCAGCCACACUGGAACUGAGACACGGUCCAG
rnacentral:rRNA from 1 species